ACAAAGUGACUGGCGAGUGUGAUGGUCGGAGAAAUUUACGUGACUUAAAUCACAACUAACUUUAUCUCAAUGCGACGCUAUUGCCAAUGGAAUAUGUCUGUAAUUAGAUCUGGUGAUAGUGUCUGCACCAUCAACAUUUUGAUUAUCACCGGCGCGCCAACCAAACAAGUCGGGCUGUAAAGGGUCAGCCAGAGUUCGCCUCCGCGAAUGUCAACACAUUGUACUGAGGCCCUUUCGUAUUGGAUCAAUGGAAUAGUCCUCGCAAAACCAGGCAAGUACAAAUUAAUUAAUCAAUUUUUUUUUCAUUUCGAUGUUUGAAUUCAUAUUAAAAAAAUAAAAUAAUUAGUUGACACAUCUUGGCUAAAAAAUGGGUUUUUGUAAAAUAGCGGACAUGCAAUGUCCGUCUUUUAAGCUGUCCUUUUAAUUUUCAUAGAUAUGGCAUUGUGUCUGAAAAUAGUAAAGCAAACAUAGUUUAAUAUUUAAUAAAAUUAAAAGUUCACGCCGAGUGGAUUUUAACCAUGCCUAAUGUCUUGUGGAACUGUGGUCUGGUAUAAUCAAAUCUUAGUUCAGAAGCCCGUUAUUGAGAGGUCAUGAUGUUCACUAAAUUAAAUCUAACGGUCUUCUCUUUUAAAUAUGUCCACCAAUAAUUUCUUUGCAAUGAAUUUCAUAGGAAAGAAGGAAAAAGAAAUGGGGGGAUAGGUUUGUCCAGCACGCCAGGGAUUUUUUUGUCGCUGGUAUUUAAAAUUGAUACAAAUGACUGUUCAAUCAUUGAAUAAACAUCUAUGAGAUAUUAGUUGUUCGUUGAAAUCGGUAAAUUUUACGACAUAUAUUGCUAAAUAUGUAUAAAUUAGUUUUUUAAGCUCUAUGAAUCUGUCAAGUUUAUUAGGUUGGUUUUAAAGAUUACAGCCUAUGUUUGUUAAUCUCUUUUACCCUGUGGCGAGUUUACUCUGAAUGUUAUUUCAAAUCAUUUUCAAUGGAAGAAAUAUAUGUACAUGUACACUAGUGUCUGAAGAAGUCGAAUAGAGGUCACGUGACAAAAUGGCGUCCCAGGUCAAAGCCCUAUGAUGGCUGCCGUGGAAAGGUCCUGGCCGAUUAUUGCACGCUGUAAUCAGUUUUUGCAUGCCAACACUCGUUGGUUUAAUGCUAGAUCAUUUUGUUUUAACUUGGGUCAUUGUUGAAAUGAAAUUCAAUAGGUUUUUUUCUCAUUAUUCUAUUAAAUCAUGUUGUCAUGCUUGAAAAUAUUAAGAAAGUGUCUUAUGAAUAUUAAGUGUUUUCAUCACUGUGUCCUCCUUUUUGUGCCUACAUUGUUUUAACCAAUCACAUGUCAAUUAAUAAGUGUACACAAAAUAUCAAAUCUGUGACAAUGAAGAAACCUUUUGGUUUAUGUUUUACUUAAAUGUUGUGCCCUUUACAGAUAAUUUUCCAACAAAGCAAGGUCGAUCAAUAAAAUUGCUUAAAAGGAAAAGGAUUUAGAGCAAAAAUGGGUAAAUAAAAUGGUGUCAUUUCCUCAAGGAUAUAUUCAAAUGAAAUUAAAUUGAUUUUUAACGGGGGGAAAUCAGGGUAUUGAUAUGUUUUAGGUGUUUUGAUCUUGGAUUGUGCCUGUUCCAAUGAUAAACAGGUUUACGCAAUUUUUUAACUACAUCGUAUGCUUGGCAAUAUAAAUUGAAACUGUCUUUUAAAUUACAUAUUUCUGUAUUAAAUACAAAACUUACAAAAGAAGAUAUAAACAGUUGUUUUUUUAGAAUGUUUCGUGAUUUUUAUAAUGAAUUUCCUUUGUGAUUAAAUUAGGAGGCAUUAAUAAAGAUUGUAAGUGGCUAAAAUGGAAGAUGGUUUACGCAUUGAACCAUUUUAUUUAUUACAUCAAAGCCCAUGGCCUUGAAACUUGUUAUUUUCGACAAACAAUUUUGCUAUUUUUUAUUUGGACAUGCGCAGUAGAUUGUGGUGAGAAAACAGCGGUAUAAAACGCUGCCAUGCUUAAGGCGCUUCACUUGAGAAAGAAAUUUUAAUGAUUGUAUAAUUUUUCACUUUGGAAGACCAUUAUAUAAAUCGUUUUCUGAGCAAUGCAAAUUGCAAUAAUUAUCAAUGUUUAGAGUAACUACAUGUAUAUAUAUAUAUAUGAUGCUGCAUGUGGUAUGAAACUGUUUUUUAAUUAAAUUUGGAUUUAUAACAUUAGAUUUUUCA